UUUCUUCUCUACCCUCACAUAAAUUGAGGGCAUAUACCCUAUGCUGAUGUGGCAUGAUGUGUCACCAAUCAAAUUCAACCACAUGUAUUUAAAUCAAAUAUAAUUAAUUUGUUACCACAAAGUAAUUUUAUUUUAAAUUAAUUAUAUUUUAAGUAUUAUAUUUUAUGAAUUUACAUUUUGGUCAUUGCUUCUAAUCUGUUUGUUUGCCUUCUUCUUCCAUCUCUAUUAUGACGUAGUACACACUGAAUCCUCAAAUCCAUUUGCAGAGAAAUUGCAGAGAAACACAAAAUUCAUUCCUUCUGGUUUUCCAUUGAAUCCUCAAAAUCCCUCUUUGAUGCAUUCCUUCUGGUUUUCCCUUGAAUCCUCAAUUCCCAGUACCGCGUUGCGCCGUCACGCUCCACCUAUUGUGCCGUCGUUGUUCUCGUGAGAUCAACUCUUCACGCGACGCUUCUCUUCUCCAACCGAACAACAACAGGCUAUAAUUUAAAAAUGUCUACAUAUAGUGAAACAACGGUGCAUCUAGAAUGUGAUACAGAUGAUUUGUUACUCGUGUUUUUACCAGGAUGUUAGUGCAUCUUUAUCCAAGAAGUAUCCUGAAUUAUACAUGGAGGGAAUAAAAAAUGUCUUCUUCAAAUGGAAAGUUGUGGCUAUAUGGGCCUUUUUUUUCUGUGUGCCAGUCUCUAAUAUUCUUCUAUUUUGUGAGUACUUCAAAUUUAAGUGCUAAAAACUCGGCAGGAAAGAUAUUUGGACUCUGGGAUGUCAGUACAAUUGCCUUCACUUGUGUUGUAGUAACCGUCAACUUGAGAUUACUUAUGAUCUGUAAUUCAAUCACAAGAUGGCACUACAUUAGUGUUGGUGGAAGCAUAUUAGAUUGGUUUGUUUUUAUUUUUACAUAUUCAGGGAUUACCACUCCAUAUGAUCGACAGGGCUAGCAUGAGAUCACGACCCAAGACUGAGCAGCAAAAAUAAUUUGGUGUAGAAUAAUUGUACAUUACAUAGUUUUGGUUUUCCAUUGAGAGCCAGCCAUAGGAAUUCUGUAAAAUUAGAAUGUACCAUAUUAAUUAUAUAUGGUCAUUUUCACGUUACAUAAUUGUGUUUUGAUUUAUCUUUUUGAGGAAUUAGAGCAGGUUUUCAGGAUUUUCAGA